GAUGAAGGAACGUAGCGAAAUGCGAUAAGUAGUGUGAAUUGCAGAAUUCAGUGAAUCAUCGAAUCUUUGAACGCACAUUGCGCCCCAUGGUAUUCCGUGGGGCAUGCCUGUUCGAGCGUCAUUUACCCCCUCAAGCUCCGCUUGGUGUUGGGCGUCUGUCCCGCUUCGCGCGCGGACUCGCCCCAAAGGUAUUGGCAGCGGUCGUGCCAGCUUCUCGCGCAGCACAUUGCGCUUCUCGAGGCACCGGUGGGCCCGCGUCCAUCAAGCUCACCCCCCCAGUUUGACCUCGGAUCAGGUAGGGAUACCCGCUGAACUUAAGCAUAUCAAUAAGCGGAGGA
rnacentral:misc_RNA from 1 species